rnacentral:rRNA from 1 species
CCUACGGGGGGCAGCAGUGGGGAAUAUUGCACAAUGGGGGAAACCCUGAUGCAGCGACGCCGCGUGAGUGAGGAAGUAUCUCGGUAUGUUAAGCUCUAUCAGCCGGGAAGCAAAUGACGGUACCUGACUACGAAGCCCCGGCUAACUACGUGCCAGCAGCCGCGGUAAUACGUAGGGGGCAAGCGUUAUCCGGAUUUACUGGGGUUAAAGGGGGCUUAGACGGUUAAUCAAGUCAGAAGUGAAAACCCAGGGCUCAACCUUGGGACUGCCUUUGAAACUGCGUAGCUAGAGUGCAGGAGAGGUAAGCGGAAUGCCUGGUGUAGCGGUGAAAUGCGUAGAUAUUAGGAGGAACACCGGUGGCGAAGGCAGCUUACUGGACUGUAACUGACGUUGAGGCUCGAAAGCGUGGGGAGCAAACAGGAUUAGAUACCCUUGUAGUC